rnacentral:lncRNA from 1 species
GCUGCAAGUGGAGGGCUUGUUUCUUCCUUGGGACUGUCGUUUUUGGCGAGGAUUUGAGAGCUGUGGUCGGGGUCAAAAGAGAUCAAUGGCGUCGCUAUCCGAAAGCGAGGGGACGAACAGGGGCGGCAUGUGGGAACUGGAUCAGAACCUUGAUCAGCCCAUGGAUGAGGAAGCCACCAGGCUCAAGAACAUGUACCGAGAAAAGGUCUGACGUUUCUCUUCUUCNNNNNNNNNNNNNNNNNNNNNNNNNNNNNNNNNNNNNNNNNNNNNNNNNNNNNNNNNNNNNNNNNNNNNNNNNNNNNNNNNNNNNNNNNNNNNNNNNNNNUAUGCCCCAGAGGCAAUAAUAGAUUAGUUAUUAUUAUUUCUUAGUUCAUGAUAAUCGUUUAUUAUCCAUGCUAUAAUUGUAUUGAUUGGAAACAUAAUACUUGUGUGGAUACAUAGACAAAACACUGUCCCUAGUAAGCCUCUAGUUGACUAGCUCGUUGAUCAAAGAUGGUCAAGGUUUCCUGACCAUAGGCAAGUGUUGUCACUUGAUAACGGGAUCACAUCAUUAGGAGAAUCAUGUGAUGGACUAGACCCAAACUAAUAGACGUAGCAUGUUGAUCGUGUCAUUUUGUUGCUACUGUUUUCUGCGUGUCAAGUAUUUGUUCCUAUGACCAUGAGAUCAUAUAACUCACUGACACCGGAGGAAUGCUUUGUGUGUAUCAAACGUCGCAACGUAAUUGGGUGACUAUAAAGAUGCUCUACAGGUAUCUCCGAAGGUGUUCGUUGAGUUAGUAUGGAUCAAGACUGGGAUUUGUCACUCCGUGUGACGGAGAGGUAUCUUGGGGCCCACUCGGUAAUACAACAUCACACACAAGCCUUGCAAGCAUUGUGACUUAGUGUAAGUUGCGGGAUCUUGUAUUACGGAACGAGUAAAGAGACUUGCCGGUAAACGAGAUUGAAAUAGGUAUGCGGAUAAUGACGAUCGAAUCUCGGGCAAGUAACAUACCGAAGGACAAAGGGAAUGACAUACGGGAUUAUAUGAAUCCUUGGCACUGAGGUUCAAAUGAUAAGAUCUUCGUAGAAUAUGUGGGAUCCAAUAUGGGCAUCCAGGUCCCGCUAUUGGAUAUUGACCGAGGAGUCUCUCGGGUCAUGUCUACAUAGUUCUCGAACCCGCAGGGUCUGCACACUUAAGGUUCGACGUUGUUUUAUGCGUAUUUGAGUUAUAUGGUUGGUUACCGAAUGUUGUUCAGAGUCCCGGAUGAGAUCACGGACGUCACGAGGGUUUCUGGAAUGGUCCGGAAACAAAGAUUGAUAUAUAGGAUGACCUCAUUUGAUUACCGGAAGGUUUUCGGAGUUACCGGGAAUGACGAAUGGGUUCCGGGUGUUCACCGUGGGGGGGGGGGCAACCCACCCCGGGGAAGCCCAUAGGCCUUGGGGGUGGCGCACCAGCCCUUAGUGGGCUGGUGGGACAGCCCAAGAAGGCCCUAUGCGCCAUAGGAAGAAAAUCAAAGAGAAAAAAAGGAGGAGGUGGGAAAAAAGGGGAAGGACUNNNNNNNNNNNNNNNNNNNNNNNNNNNNNNNNNNNNNNNNNNNNNNNNNNNNNNNNNNNNNNNNNNNNNNNNNNNNNNNNNNNNNNNNNNNNNNNNNNNNUCGGUCAAAUGCUAUUGUGCUUUUCUGAUGAAUUUUUGUUGUUCCCUAGAAUUUUGAUGUUCGAGUACUUAAUGAUCAAGGAUGAGUUGUUGUGUGAUGUGUGGUUGGUCGUAUCUGCGAACUUUGUAGGUAGAAACUCAAGGGGCUCCGUCUUUUGCAGCAUGUGCAUGCUUCGUUUCAUGAGAAAAAAACUUCAUGUCGUAUGAUAUGCUAUCAUCCAUGAACGCAUCGUGAAGCCGAUAUCACAUCGAUGGUACACCUUCUGCUACUCCAUCAUGAAGUGUUGCCGUGUGAUUCACCGAGUGGAAACAAUGUGGCCAUUGGGCUCGUUAACCAUGGAGAUAGUAAGUUUUGCUUAUUGUUGCUCUACAUGUUGGUUAAUUCAUUAUUCAUUCACUCAAUAUUAUUGUACACGUAGUAUAGCAUGCACACGCUUAGGUGAUGUACUACUUGAUCGAGGAAAGGUCAUUCACGCACAUAUAUUAUUGGAUGGAGCUCAAACGGCAGUAUGUGUGAGACGACAUCUGUCGAUUAAGACUCGAGUAUCUUUGAAUUCGGAAUUGAUGAAUUUAAAAAUCUUGUUAAACAUCCGGCUAUCUCGAUAUAUGAAUGAUAUUUAUAGAUGAAUUGUGCUAUUUUUAAUAAUUAUUUUAAGUGUUAUGGUUUUAAAAAUAAAUAGGAAGCGACAACUAAGGGAAGUGGUUGGAUGGCCGGCUACCAUCGCAUUAUAGGCCGAGGACUGAUCUGAACCAACCCAUGAACAAAUUUUGUAUCCGCUUUGGAGAUCGCUUUUGUGAUGCCCUUAUACAUUCCAUCAACCCUGAGACAGUGAGACAGCCAAUGACAAGCGAGCAUGGUGGUGCACUCACGGAGAAUAGUAUUGUACCCACUGAACUGAAAGAAAAUGCCACCAUCUCCACACACACACACAAAAACACNCUUGUGACUAAACUUUCACCCCGAAUCCUUCCUAGCUACUCUAGCCAGUACACAAAUCAAUAGGCGGCCGGCCGUGUCGCCGUGCGCCCAUGCCACCAUGACUUUUCAGGUGCUCAUCCCAUUAUUUGCCUACUAGCUCCUCUACCCUUCUGGAAGGCAUGCAUGAACAGUACAGUAGGGACAGAAGCGCCAUUUAGCUAGUAGUCUCCACAUCUAUCUAUCCAUUGUGUGGAUAAACCCUGUGAUGUGCAGCUGCGUCGUCGUGUCAACCAACUCGAUCACCAUGAGCCGCACGCUAGCCAGGCCCAGUUCUCCGGUGGGGGUGGGGACACGAGUGACGUGGGUGGUGCAACCCAAACCCAUGCGUGUGUGUGUGUCCGCUUGCUCAUUAGUUGCGGCCUUGUCCCACCCCAGCGACGACCUACCUUGCCACCCAGCUUAGCUGAGCUAGCUGGCUAGCCACAGCUUCUUGUCCCGUGGCAUGACAUCCAUGAUCCAUGCAUGUAUAUCCGGAUGGAGGGCCGUUUUCUUUAAAAUAUUCAUAUAGGGAUACCAUUCUUCAAACAAGACGAUCAGCAUUUUCAAACAAGAUAAUCAUAUAUUAUUAGUGUGCGAUUCUUUUAUUAAUCACUAGUGGUGGUGAAUCACUUGGGGGCAACAACAGAAGUCACGGGGCAUCGGUUCCUCAAGCAUAAUUCCCCUCGCAUUAUUGUUUUCUUAGCAUUACAAUUGCAUCUAGUUCCAAUCCCCUUGCAUAAUUGCACCGCUUUCCCCCUUGUUUGCUUGUUUUUUUCUGCGUGUUUUUCGCUCAAGAAUAUGUAUGGCACCAGCAAUGGAAGAUUCUCACAAUUAUAUGAGCUGUUUUCACCCAGAGUUAACUCGGACGUGACACACGAGUCGUCCUCACCGGCAGCGAUAGCAUCGACAAGAAAACAUUCAAAAAUCAUGAACAAACUUGGUUUUUUCUUCGAGAAACGUUGAAUUAAAGGUGUUUCCACACGGGGAAAACCCCAGCUGUCCACCUAACUAGAAAAGAUUAGAGAAAACCACAAUCAAUUAUUCUUGAAAGCUACGCGCUAUAAUCUCGUGUGUCUCGGUUUAGGACGCGUGCUAAUCGCCCAUUCGCUACCACCGACGGCGAAUAUUAGCAGAUGAAACUCUUAAUAAUAUCUUCUACUUCCUCCGUAUCUAAAUAUAAGUCUUUUAAGAUAUUUUACUAAGUGUCUACAUACAAAGCAAGAUGAAUGAACCUACGUUCUAAAGUAUGUAUAUAUACAUCCGUAUGUAGUUCAUCAGUGAAACCUCUAAAAAGACUUAUAUUUAGGAACGGAGGAAGUACUAUUUAUCUUUGUCCUUUACAACUGACAACAAGUGCCUAGAUAAGGACAUGAGCAACAAGACUUUGAAUUCAAAGAUGAUGAUUUUGCAGUAAAUAAAUAAAAGAAUGAAACAAAAGAAGUUGGACUUGGAUUGCUAAUCAGCUAUUGGCUCAUGGGGUGAUGCAUGUAGGGCGGCCUACUAGACGAAGAUCCUACUCCGUAUACCGCAUAAAAAAAUGCCAUAAACGAAUCAACAAAGUCAAGGAACAAACAAUAUAUUCAGAUAUACUGCAUGUUGCAGCGAGCGGGAUGGGUGCUCCACCAGCAGCAACCUGGGCAGUGCCCACUUGCCACUGCCACCAGACAAGGAUUAAGCAGCUAGCUGACAGAAGUGCUUAUUAAACACACAAAGUGACAGCCCUGGAUCUCCCAAUCAGAAAGAUUAGCAGCUGAUGCUGCUUCUACUUAUAAUUAAUCAGUCGAAGCAGCUAGCGUCAAGGUAAACUAGGCUAGGGGCAGCAGCAGCUACCACCGCUAAUUAAGAAAGAAACAUGAGGGUAACAACCUGGGUUUGUUUGGUAACACUAGUUAAGUGGCACCAAGAGUACUAGAUUAAGAACCUGUAACCAACCAGUCAAGCAGCAGCAGCAGCAUCAAGUAGUAAUGUGCCGUUCCACGUCGGAGUCAGCAGUUUUGGUGCUGCAGUACUUUGGCACGUAGAUUAGCAAGCAGCCAGGCAAGGGCCAAGGGGGGUGAUGGGUCAGCAAUGCUGUCUGAGCCCUGAGGUCAGUCUCCCCUUCUCUUCUCUUCUUCUUCUUCUCCUUCUCCUCCUUGUCAUUGCUGCUACCAUCCAAAUCUUGGAGCUUUUGAUCGGUUAAGUUCCAAGCCAAAUUAGUGGGCGCCCACCAGCGUCCUCCUCCUCCCCUCCUCUCCCACGCUGUCCUCAUAUGCCCCGCUCCCGUCCUCCUCCUGCCACUUCUUCCGUCCCUCGCUCCUCCCGCUCUGCCAACGCCACCCUCCUCCUCGCUGAACCUCUCCUCCCUCCGCGGAGGAGUCCCGUCGCGUCUCGCCGCUUCGGGGCCCGGCCGUCGAGGCGGCUGCCCGUGUCCCGGGGAGGUUUUCUUGGGGGAAGAAAGGUCGGGGUUUUCGGCUGGUUGGGAUUGUGGAUUUUUCAGCGGUGAUCUCGGUUGUUCCUUGAGAUUCAGAGGAGUCCCUGCGCUGUGAUUCCUGCCGCUCCGUGCUUCCAUUCCUGUUCCCUGCAAACGCCCCCCCGGAAUUCAGACCGGCCGAGGCGGCUCUUCGCUCCGGGCAGCCUCCGUCCAUGUAAGAAUUGGGGUCGGGGGCGUCGAUGCGGAGAUUCGAGGCCGAACUUUGAGCGAGGAGAUCAAGACCUGUUGCUUCAAGGUGGAUUUUUAUCCGUGAACCCGGUCUUCGGAUUGGUUGGUGCCAGGGCUGCAAGUGGAGGGCUUGUUUCUUCCUUGGGACUGUCGUUUUUGGCGAGGAUUUGAGAGCUGUGGUCGGGGUCAAAAGAGAUCAAUGGCGUCGCUAUCCGAAAGCGAGGGGACGAACAGGGGCGGCAUGUGGGAACUGGAUCAGAACCUUGAUCAGCCCAUGGAUGAGGAAGCCACCAGGCUCAAGAACAUGUACCGAGAAAAGGUCUGACGUUUCUCUUCUUCUUCUUCAGUUAGUUACUUUACAGUUCAUUUAUUUAUAUAUUUGGAUGCCAAGACUUUGUUAUUUUCAGAGAAUGUAAAAUUGGCCUCUGCAUGUCAUCAGUUCAUCUUAUUGUGCAGCUUGUGCUUUGAGAACAUUUGGAACAGAUGUGCUACUUUGAUGUGGAUUGUACUGCUUCAACAUGUCAGUUUGUCAUCUGUAGGGAAUGAAGUAAUCUGGUUUAGUUUGUAUGAUGGGAUUACCAUUUUAAUUUGGGAUGAUGCUG